AAUGCAUGUAAAUGUAAGUCGCUUUGGAUAAAAGCGCCUGCUAAAUGGCAUGUA
rfam:Salmo salar isolate Sally breed double haploid chromosome ssa22, whole genome shotgun sequence.